rnacentral:tRNA from 2 species
AAUUAGAUAAGCUAAUAAAGCUAUUAGGUUCAUACCCUGCCAAUAGAAGUAAAAUCUUCUUCUAAUUA